AAUCAACGCUGGCGGCGUGCCUAACACAUGCAAGUCGAACGCGAAAGGCUCCUUCGGGGGCCGAGUAGAGUGGCGCACGGGUGAGUAACACGUAGGUAAUUUGCCUUUGGGUGGGGAAUAACUCAGGGAAACUUGAGCUAAUACCGCAUAAUGCAGCGGCUCGACAUCGAGACAGUUGUUAAAGCGGGGAUCGCAAGACCUCGCGCCUGAAGAGAAGCCUGCGGCAGAUUAGCUAGUUGGUAGGGUAAUGGCCUACCAAGGCGACGAUCUGUAACCGG
rnacentral:rRNA from 1 species